rnacentral:rRNA from 1 species
AUUGAACGCUGGCGGCAUGCUUUACACAUGCAAGUCGAACGGCAACAGGUUAAGCCGACGAGUGGCGAACGGGUGAGUUAUGCACCGGAACGUGCCCGGUCGUGGGGGAUAACGCAGCGAAAGCUUCGCUAAUACCGCCUCCGAUCUGAUGAUGAAAGCGGGGGACCGUAAGGCCUCGCGCGAGCGGAGCGGCCGAUGGCAGAUUAGGUAGUAGGGGGGGUAAAGGCUCACCAAGCCAACGAUCUGUAGCUGGUCUGAGAGGACGACCAGCCACACUUGGACUGAGACACGGCCCAGACUCCUACGGGAUGCAGCAGUGGGGAAUUUUGGACAAUGGGCGAAAGCCUGAUCCAGCAAUGCCGCGUGCAGGAAGAAGGCCUUCGGGUAGUAAACUGCUUUUGUACGGAGCGAAAAGGUCUCCUCUAAUACAGGGGGCUCAUGACGGUACCGUAAGAAUAAGCACCGGCUAACUACGUGCCAGCAGCCGCGGUAA